CGGGCAAGGGCGGGUGCCUAUACAUGCAAGUCGAGCGGACAGAUGGGAGCUUGCUCCCUGAUGUUAGCGGCGGACGGGUGAGUAACACGUGGGUAACCUGCCUGUAAGACUGGGAUAACUCCGGGAAACCGGGGCUAAUACCGGAUGGUUGUCUGAACCGCAUGGUUCAGACAUAAAAGGUGGCUUCGGCUACCACUUACAGAUGGACCCGCGGCGCAUUAGCUAGUUGGUGAGGUAACGGCUCACCAAGGCGACGAUGCGUAGCCGACCUGAGAGGGUGAUCGGCCACACUGGGACUGAGACACGGCCCAGACUCCUACGGGAGGCAGCAGUAGGGAAUCUUCCGCAAUGGACGAAAGUCUGACGGAGCAACGCCGCGUGAGUGAUGAAGGUUUUCGGAUCGUAAAGCUCUGUUGUUAGGGAAGAACAAGUGCCGUUCAAAUAGGGCGGCACCUUGACGGUACCUAACCAGAAAGCCACGGCUAACUACGUGCCAGCAGCCGCGGUAAUACGUAGGUGGCAAGCGUUGUCCGGAAUUAUUGGGCGUAAAGGGCUCGCAGGCGGUUUCUUAAGUCUGAUGUGAAAGCCCCCGGCUCAACCGGGGAGGGUCAUUGGAAACUGGGGAACUUGAGUGCAGAAGAGGAGAGUGGAAUUCCACGUGUAGCGGUGAAAUGCGUAGAGAUGUGGAGGAACACCAGUGGCGAAGGCGACUCUCUGGUCUGUAACUGACGCUGAGGAGCGAAAGCGUGGGGAGCGAACAGGAUUAGAUACCCUGGUAGUCCACGCCGUAAACGAUGAGUGCUAAGUGUUAGGGGGUUUCCGCCCCUUAGUGCUGCAGCUAACGCAUUAAGCACUCCGCCUGGGGAGUACGGUCGCAAGACUGAAACUCAAAGGAAUUGACG
rnacentral:rRNA from 1 species